rnacentral:rRNA from 1 species
UAUAUAGGUAACGUGCCCUAGAGAGGGGGAUAACAUUUGGAAACGAAUGCUAAUACCCCAUAUGCCUUUAAGUCUUAAGACUGCAAGGGAAAUAUUUAUAGCUCUAGGAUCGGCCUGUACGGUAUCAGUUUGUUGGUGAGGUAAUGGCUCACCAAGACUAUGACGCCUAACUGGUUUGAGAGGAUGAUCAGUCACACUGGAACUGAGACACGGUCCAGACUCCUACGGGAGGCAGCAGUGGGGAAUAUUGCACAAUGGACGAAAGUCUGAUGCAGCAACGCCGCGUGGAGGAUGACACAU